rnacentral:rRNA from 1 species
GACGAACCGAGCAAACGUUAUUCGGAAUCACUGGGCUUAAAGGGCGCGUAGGCGGGCAUUCAAGUCCGUGGUGAAAUCCGGCAGCUCAACUGUCGAACUGCCGCGGAUACUGGGUGUCUCGAGGGAGGUAGGGGCGUGCGGAAUUAUUGGUGGAGCGGUGAAAUGCGUUGAUAUCAAUAGGAACUCCGGUGGCGAAGGCGGCACGCUGGACCUCUUCUGACGCUGAGGCGCGAAAGCCAGGGGAGCAAACGGG